rnacentral:rRNA from 1 species
AACGAACGCUGGCGGCAUGCCUAACACAUGCAAGUCGAACGAGACCUUCGGGUCUAGUGGCGCACGGGUGCGUAACGCGUGGGAACCUGCCCUUAGGUUCGGAAUAACUCCCCGAAAGGGGUGCUAAUACCGGAUAAUGUCUUCGGACCAAAGAUUUGUCGCCUUUGGAUGGGCCCGCGUUGGAUUAGCUAGUUGGUAGGGUAAAAGCCUACCAAGGCGACGAUCCAUAGCUGGUCUGAGAGGAUGAGCCGCCACACUGGGACUGAGACGCGGCCCAGACUCCUACGGGAGGCAGCAGUGGGGAAUAUUGGACAAUGGGCGAAAGCCUGAUCCAGCAAUGCCGCGUGAGUGAUGAAGUCCUUAGGGUUGUAAAGCUCUUUUACCCGGGAUGAUAAUGACAGUACCGGGAGAAUAAGCUCCGGCUAACUCCGUG